rnacentral:rRNA from 1 species
GACGAACGCUGGCGGCGCGCCUAACACAUGCAAGUCGAGCGAUGAAAUUUUAACCGAUCUCUUCGGAGAGAAGAUAAAAUGGAUUAGCGGCGGACGGGUGAGUAACACGUGAGAAACCUGCCUUUCACAAGGGGAUAGCCUCGGGAAACCGGGAUUAAUACCCUAUGACACAUUUCCUUCGCAUGGAAGAAAUGUUAAAACUCCGGUGGUGAAAGAUGGUCUCGCGCCUGAUUAGCUAGUUGGUGGGGUAACGGCCCACCAAGGCCAUGAUCAGUAACCGGCCUGGGAGGGGGAACGGUCACAUUGGAACUGAGACCCGGUCCAAACUCCUACGGGAGGCAGCAGUGGGGAAUAUUGCACAAUGGAGGAAACUCUGAUGCAGCGACGCCGCGUGAGCGAUGAAGGCUUUCGAGUCGUAAAGCUCUGUCCUAUGGGAAGAUAAUGACGGUACCAUAGGAGGAAGCCCCGGCUAACUACGUG